AUGUUCUUGUCCAGCAACACACUCUGUACACCCCUUCUGCUCCACGGAGGUGCCUCCUUCCCACUGAGCAGGGCAGUUGGCCAGCAGAGCUCCAUUUGGAUGAAGCCACCUACAUUUCUGGAGCCUGAGUCUGUGCUACAUGCAGAUGGGAAGCCAGCGGAACAUAUGCAGCACAGUUCCAGCAAGACUUUUUGGAGGAUGGAUGACCUGGGACCUGGGAGGAUGCAAGGCGGAGGGGAGCAGAAGGUUAUUACCAAGGACCUUCCCUCACCUGCACACCAACCACCUCAGCAUAGAAGAGAAUCUGACUGUGAUUCUGGUGGCUUACACACAAGCAGGAAACCUGCAACCAAGAGACCUUGACAGGGAGGAUGAAUCCUUGCACUGAAAUUUGGAGGUGGAGUGAACUGCAGCUAGUGCACAGCAAAUCCCACAGUUAAAGGUCUUACUUUAUCAUGAGGAUGGUGGCAAACACCACCAAGCAGCUGUGUGUAACCAUUCUGUGUGAAAAGGAUGGAUUGGUCUAAAAGAAAAAUGGAAAUAUGGAAAAAUGCUGCCCUUAUUGAAACCAUGGCAACAGCCUGCUUCUCAGCUGUAUUGAUUUCUAUCUGUAACAUUUUACCUUUUCAGUUCAAAAUGAAUAUGAAUUUUAAUAAGUCUUUUUAAUAGCAGAAGUGAAUCAUUUUCUACAGAACUCUGCAACAUUAAAAUAUUGUCAGAACAGAAAUUCUCUGGGAUUUUGGUAAGAACCAGAACAUUCAUCUCAGAGCCAAGUCUGGGGGCUAUGUUCCGGGCUGUGCUUCUACUAUUUGCAUACUCUUGGGUAAACUGCUUAAUUUCUUAUGCCUCUAAUUUGCCUUGCAGAUAUCAGUACUGAUUUACCUCAAAGGCUUGUAAGGUUAUGACCACACUGACUCAAAUUUGCUUGAAAAUCUCCAGAUAUUGGGAUCUAUAAGAUGGGGCAUUUUUACUUUUUUUUUCCUUUAAGCUGAUGGGUUUGUUUUGACUGGCUGAAUAGCUGAGUGAAUACGAUUAGUGUCAGUGUAAACAGAAAGAGAAGCACAGCUCAUGUCCAAGUGCAGGAAAUUUUGUACAUUAUGGUAAAGCAAGCCAUGAGGAACCCUAAUGGUGAGGCAGAUGUUCAAGAAUGUGCAAUCUCCAUGAUUUAGCCAGCUAAUAAACAAGCAUGUGGAGAACUGAGAGGACA
rnacentral:lncRNA from 1 species